CACACAAUUUCUGAGAGUCAGGACUCCAAGACUGACUUAGCUGGGCAGUUCUGGCUCAGGCUGUCUCCUGAGGUUGCAGUCAAGCUCUCAGCCAGAACCGCAGUCAUCUGAAGCUUUGCCUGGACCUGGAUCUGCCUCCUGGCUCCACCUCGAGCUCACUCAGUUCCUUGUCACACCGACCUCUCCAGAGGGCUGCUGGCUUUCUCCAGAGCAAAUGACCAGAGAGACAGAGACUGAGAUGGAGGUGCAUUGACUUUCAUAAGGUAAUCUCAGAAAUGACAUACUCUCCUGUCUACAGUAUCCUAUUGUUUACACACACCAGCCCUGAUAAGAUGUAGGAGGGGAUGACACCAGGGUGCGAAUGCCAGGAAGCAGUGAUCGUUGGAGGUCGGCUACCUCACUGAUCGCAGUUGAAGGCGCUGGUUCACCAUCUUUCUCUUGACCCUGGGAGACAACAGUGAUCAGGCCAUCAUAGAAGGAAGACCCAGCUCACCUCCUUGAGGACCCAGGCUAUGCUGAGAGGUGACCUUCAAGAUGCCCAGCAGAAGACCAUUCCCUAGAAGACAAUGGGGUCCCUUCCCCGUCCUGGGUUGAAGAUUGCUACUUCUGCCUGUUUCCGCAGUCCCAGCCUUCCCAGCUGGGCUCCUUCUCCCAACCAGCUGCUGACUCGGACUCUCCCUGCUUACACCUCGCUCUCCUGCCUCCUGCCUCUCCCCUGAGACAAUCUCACGCACGAGAAUCAUCUUCUUAAGAAGGGUUGUUAUUGCUAACCCCACGGCCUGGGACACGUUCCAGAGAAACCAACACAGGGCUGUGACUAAGGUUCCCGUGCUCUGGACUCUCACCCAGGGUUGGAGAUCCUGGUACCCUUUCCAAGAGGUUCUGGGAAUCUGGGCCGUAAGCUCCUUGAGGGAUGUUAGAGUUCAUGCCGUAUAUACUUCUGGUUCCUACAGAAUCCACUCUGGGGCCUUUGCUGCAAAGUCCAAGUUGGUAAGGAAUUCUCUGAUGAUGGAUUUCCCUCGUGGCGCAGUGGUUAAGAAUUUGCCUGCUAAAGCAGGGGACACAGGUUCGAGCCCUGGUCCAGGAAGUUCCCACAUGCCGCGGAGCAACUAAGCCCGUGCGCCACAACUACUGAGCCCGCGCUCUAGAGCCCGUGAGCCACAACUGAUUAGCCCGCACUCCACAACUACUGAAGCUCGCACGCCUAGAGCCCGCGCUCCGCAACAAGGGAAGCCACUGCAAUGAGAAGCCUGUGCACCACAACCAAGAGUAGUCCCCACUCGCCCCCACUAGAGAAAGCCCGCGCGCAGCAACUAAGACCCAACGCAGCCAAAAAUAAAUUAAUUAAUUUAAA